rnacentral:rRNA from 1 species
CGGGUGAGUAACACGUGGAUAACCUACCUAUAAGACUGGGAUAACUUCGGGAAACCGGAGCUAAUACCGGAUAAUAUUUUGAACCGCAUGGUUCAAAAGUGAAAGACGGUCUUGCUGUCACUUAUAGAUGGAUCCGCGCUGCAUUAGCUAGUUGGUAAGGUAGCGGCUUACCAAGGCAACGAUGCAUAGCCUACCUGAGAGGGUGAUCGGCCACACUGGAACUGAGACACGGUCCAG